AAACUAAUCCCAAUCUUAUAUUUCUCCGCCAACCUGAGGAGCGACCAAACACACCUAAAUUCUCAUCUCUUAAAUUUUCUCGUCAAAGUUGUAUAAUCCCAAACAUUUCUCUCCUAGUGAAGUGUUACAUGUUACGUUGGGUUGAAUUGAGUACUCAAUUUCAGUGACAAGUGAGAGGGCUCUGUAAUGGAGGCCAGGCGCUGUGCAAGAGAGUUGUGGAUGGUUUUUGGGGGAAACAGAAGGUCAAUUUUAGUGAGAAGUGAGAGGGGCUUUGUAGUUUCUUGAUCUUGAUAGCAUGGAGGCCAGGCGCCGUGCAAGAGAGGGAAAUUAGCAUCUUUUUUGUAAUGGAGUUGUUGCAAUGCAUUACCCUGGUGGGCUUUAAGAAGGCCUUCCUUCAUGGUUACAUACCAAGUUUUGACUAGCGGGUUGAGUGUUGACGAUGUCAUUGAGCAUUACUUAAAAUUUAAAGACUGCCUAUAAUGUCAUCUCUUACAAACAUAAACCCCAUUUACUGACCGUCCUGGAGUUGCUGAAUGCCACAAAAGAGAGAUAGAGGGACUACUAGAAAAGACUGCCUAUGUUGUCAUCUCUUACAAACAUGAACCCCGUUUACAGACUGUCCUGGAGUUGCUGAAUGCCACAAAAGAGAUAGAGGGACUACUAGAAAAGGUGCGUCACCUGUUUCAACUUUUCUUUUGAAUUAGUGUAAAAGUUCAUCGUUGUGUUAAACUUUUUAAGAAGUUGAUAUGUGAAUAUUUUCCAUUUAUGGGAGUUGCUCCACAGUCCGAAUUUGUUGAAUUCAGUCAUAUGCUUAUUCUAUAUCAUGUUUUGCUCUUGUAGUUUAGGAAACACUUGUCCUCGUGUAAAUUAGGUAUAUAGCAUAUUAUGUAGUCAUAUUCUCAAGUUAUGGCAUAAGAGUUUGAUUUUCAUUCUAUAACAUUUAAUAUAUCAACUUAUAGCAUUUCUUUAAA